CUAGCCCCCGGCUCCAGACUGCAGUGCUGCUAGCGGCUGCGAUCCUGGCUUGCAGUUAGUUCUUGGCCAGAUUCACUGGGGAUGAAAAGGAAGGGCAGAUGUGUCAAUGAGGAACCAGUAGCAGCUGCAGCUGCUGCUGGUUAGAGUUACUAGCAUCCAAAUCCCACUGUCUGUCCCCAAGACCUCAAGACACUGACUGGUCCUGAGUGGUUUCUUCCUCUCUAGUCACUUCUGCUCUGAGACCAUUGCCUCUGCCUGGACAUACUGAUGGUGAACCCCACAACAGAUUUAGUUUUCGAAACCCCGUGUCUGCUCCGAUAUCAUUCAGUGCAAAAAUGCCUACAGGGAACUUGGAAUGAGCAGCAGCCUCUUAGGUCCCGGGCCAGAUCCCUCCACCCAAGCAGGAAAAGCUGCUCCACAGGCUUCUGCACCCUUCUCCUCCCACCCGCCCCUACCCUUCCCCUCCCAUCCUUGGCUGCCUCCCCCAUGACCUGCGCCUCCCAUCUCCAUCAGAGGAAACGGGAGAAGAAAGGAGGGAGGGAGUGCAUGUGUUCGGCUUGGUCUCCUGGUUCUCACUCUGGACCAGGCAAUGCGAGACUGAAGAUGGAAAGGUCGGGGGUCUCUUCCUGACCCCUCUACUCCUUCAUGCCAGGACGUCAUUGAACUGGUCUGUGCCUCCUGUUCCUCACCCAUAGAACAAGUACAAUGAUACCUACCUGGACUCCUGACGUGUCCUCUGCCACACCCUGUGGAUCUCACGGUGGUGAUGACAUCAUUGCAGCACCAGCCAUUGAACACAGGACGCAAGAUGCAAAUCAACUUUCAGGGGAAAAUCAGCAUUUGGGCCCCUAUCUCACUUUGAAAUGCAAUCAACUCUGGAUGGUUCACAAAUGAUCUCUAAUCCCACCUGCUUCUAGUCUCCAAACACAGGAGCUACCUUUGCAGUCCCUUAAGCCAGGGUUUCUAACCUCAGCACAACUGCCAUUUGGGGCUGGAUCAUUCUCUGUGGUGGUCCCGUGAAUUGUUGAAUGUUUAGCUGGAUCCCCAGCCUCAACCCACUAGAUGCCUGAAGCACCCGCAAGUCGUGACAACCAGAAGAAUGGAAACAUUGCCAGACACCUGCUGCAGGACAAAACCCCUUCACUGAGGACUGCUGCCCUAGAAUCAGCAACCCUACCCACUCCCCACCUUGGAAGAAGGAGCACCAAAAACCAUGAUCCAAUUAAUUGUUACUAUAAGAAACUGAAACCCAAAUGCACAGGCUAAUUCCGAGUCUUACUCAGGAACUGGAAUGUCAACAGACAACAUAAACCAGUCCCAGCAAAAGUUCAAGAAGAUAAGACUGUGAAAAAAAAAAAAAACAAACAAACAUCCCCAAGCCAUUCUCCAUGAUUUUUCAGUCAUUCUUUGUACUGCUAAUGUCUUAUUAGUGCAAAUCAUGGAUCAUUGACCUGAUAAAGACCACCACCCCACAGCCCUCCUAGACUUGUAGUAACAUCUGCUGGGCACUCAGAGCUUUUCAGGCACAGGCAGGAUGUGAACAGGAAAGUGUUAACAGAUGCUUAUGGGCUAGGUGUGCCCACUUGGCUCUGAAUCUACUUGAGUGUCUCUGUAACAAGUGUUCAACAGAAUUUAUCACAUUCCACAUGGGUGUAUGAGCCCAGAGCAGCUAUAUUAAACUAUGGGUAUCUGCCAAAAUGGAUAUGUCUUUAGGAUGAGUGAGUGAGUGAGUGAAUGAAAAUUGCUCAGUCAUAUCCGACUCUUUGCUACCUCCAUGGACUAUGCAAUCCAUGGAAUUCUCCAAGUCAGAAUCCUGGAGUGGGAGAAGAUCCAUUCUCCAGUGGAUUGUCCCAACCCAGCAAUCAAACCAGGGUCUCCUGCAUUGCAGGCAGAUUCUUUAUCAACCGAGCUAUCAGGGAAGCCCCUUUAGGAUAAGUCUUCUUAAAUAUCAAACAGUGAAAAAAGGCAGGAAGAGACCCUAAAUGUAGACCCUGUUUUCUAUGGUCAUCUGAAAUCGUCUUUAGGUCCCACCGGGUUACAGCUGGUCCUGCCUUGACUGUAGUUCCCUGGUAGCUCCUCUGACUGGGUAGAUCCCCAGGAUGGGCUGUGUGGAUGUGUAGAGGGGAACCUUCAUCAUUUGACGAGGAUCAGAGAACCUAUAUGGCCCAUAAGUUCUAUGCCCCAAACCAGAAUCAUCAGCAAUGUGUUGGUACCAGAAGAACCAGCUCUUGGCACCUAUAUGGGGUUGACUCAGAGAGGGCGGGGGAUUCAUUCAAGGUGCUCUCGGCAGCUGACCCUCAACAAGGCAUUCAACAGAGCAUCCUGAGGCCAGCUCUCUUGUCCAGAUGGUUUGACUCUGCUGCCUCCUCCUAGAGAACAAGGAAUGUGCAUGCCCUCGACCCCCUCCCUAGGGCCGUGCGCCCCCUCUCCACCAAGAGCAUCUGCAUUGGACACCACCGGGAAGCACAUUCCUAGGAGGAAUUGUUUGUGUGGCACUUUCCAACAUCCCCUGGAGCCAAGAAAAGAUUUACAUUUGGCUGGCAGUGUGCAACAGGUCCCAGUCAUUUCCUCUCCUUUCAAGAAAAUUCCGAAUGAACAUAAAUCUCACCCCAGCUCUGACAGCCUCCAGUCAUCUGUUUACCAAAAUAAACUUUAAGCAUACAUUGAAAACUAAUUCCUAGUGAAAUAUGCAUCCCCAUGGCAUUCAAGUCUGGUAUUUAAUGUCUUUUUUAUGGUUAAUAAUGCAUCAAAAGCAU
ensembl:lncRNA